CACAUUUUAUUUCAUAUUUAGGUUAAUUCUUUUCUGGUGAAUAACAGCGGAUUGACUUUUUUCUCGGCUAAACAUGUUAACUGGUCCUUCGAGGUAGAAGAGAAAACGGUGCAUAAUGGCACCAUGCAUGAGACAAGUAUAAGUGUUGGAAAAAAGGAUGAAAAUUAUACGAAUAAAUAUGAAGAUGACUCCUUAUCAGUCAAUGAUCUGUGUCAAUGGAAUGGUAUAAAGAGUGUUGAAGGUUCAGUUGAAAACAAAGAAAGUCAAAAUGGUAUAAACAAUUCAACACCAAAUGAAAAUACUCCUGUCAAAACCAAACCGUUGGCGACAAGGCAUAGUGAUAAGGUCAAUGCAAACUUGCAUAUCAAAACCGAGUCUGUGGAUGGUGAAAAGGAGAGAUUUCAGUUUGAAAUGAAAGACACAUGUCCUAUGGAUAAUGUUAAAAAUGACAAAAGUAUAGCAGAACACCGUUCUAACUCAGAAAAUCCAAGCAACUUGAGCACUGGAGAGGCAGGAAAACAGUCAAAGCAAAUGACUUCAAACAAACAACAGGGUCAAGCAAAACAAAGAAGCAGAUGUAUUACAAACAGCAAGGGAGAAGCAUAUUAUGAGACUUGUGAAAAACAACAGAAUGCCAAGACUUUUGCUGUCAUAUUCGGAUGCUUUUUUAGAAUGAAAACAUCUAGAAAGGCUUUCUUAAUGCUGCUGUUGAUAGUGAGUGGACUAUGUCCGGCAUCGCCUGUCGCUAUAAAUCAUGACCCGAAAUCGCAACACUUUGAAGAAUACCGACUUCUAUUAACCUCCCAAUGUAACGACAAGGACUUGAUUAGAUCAGAGUCAUGCCACAAGAACGAAAUAUCACGGAAAACUUACAUCGAUUUUUGCCGUUUUGAGGACCUUUGUGACAAUGAUUCUGAACCGACUUGUGUCGACGGCGAAAGUGGUGGAAUGCUUCAUAUAUGCUCCCCGAAAAACCUUACUUGUCCAAAAGGUUAUAGAAGGAAUGCAUGGCUUGAUAAUGAUACCGAUGUAGUUCAUGUGAGUGAGGAAAAAUGCCCACGUGGGAGAUACCAGCCAACAGAAUCAAAUUGUUACGGCUCGUGCAUGAAUAAACAUUGGGAUUUGCAAGAUCUGCCAGAACAAUUUGUCUUAUAUUCUGUGGGUGACAAUAUAUCACCGACUUGGAUCUAUUGCGAUUUUGAGAAAGGGUUUUACAACAUGGAUGGGAAAUUUCUACUUGCAUAUGAUGAUCAUUUUGUGCACUAUCCUUUUUUCUGUACUAGCGUUUCCGAUAUCAACCCAUGUUCUAAUGGAGAAUAUCCGCUUCCAAACAGUACAUGUAUUGGUUCUUGCAUGGAAGGCCUUAAACGAGAUGCCCACGACGGAUUCAAGUGCACCAAAAGUUGGAAUGGAACCUUUGCCAUCACACAGAGUGGAUCUUCUAGUGAAAAGGCAAACCAGCAAACAACAACCACGACAAACUCUACAACCACAGGGCCAGUCGAAAAUACCGUGGCACAUGAGAGAGAACAUCAUCAACCAAAUGAUGAGAAAGGUCUCGCUACACAUUUGAAUAAUAUGAUUUUUGCAGGUAAAGAUUAUGAAUCUAAAAGUUUUUAUUUGCGUUAUUGUGGUUAUUGUUAUGAUAAUUGGUUUAGUUGUCUGUUUUCUGAAACACAAGAAAAACGGAAGAAAAAGCAUCACCCUGACAAGAAACAAGAAAACAGAAAAUAAGACCGUAAUUGAAAAUGUUGAAAGUGUCAAUAUUUACCAAGGGAUACCCGAGAGAGGAAAUAACGCACCGAUUGAGAUGCAACGUUUUCUCCAAAGAGCAGCAGAAGGAGAAGAAGAUGAAGGACUAGAAGAUGUGUGAUGUUUUUACUUGUUUUGGAAAGACAAUUUUGUGACAUCCGUUCAUGACAUUAUAAUUCUGAACUUUUUUUCAUCGUAAAAAUUUCAUGGAUUGAAAAUUGAUGUGAGAUAAAUGGAUAUUAACACAGCGUGUUUUCAUUACCCUGCUUAUACCGAAUAAAGUAAACACUAUACGAAUGUUAUUGACCACGCAAUAAUCAUUGUAUUUAUGUUUUAAGUUUUUAAAUCUGUACACAACGUCGUUGAAUUGAAAAGGUAUUGGUUGAACUUAUUACUGCAUUUAAAAAAGCAAAAGAAAAAAAGAAAAAAAAGGAAUUCUGGAGUUAGAAGUAUCUAUUUAUUGUGCUAUAUGCGAUACUUAUCCUUGAUAUUUACCUGAAUCUUAUUCGCUUUUGCGUUUCGAUUAAAAAAAGUUUGAUUGUUAUAAAGUUCUUGUUUUCAUCGUUAUCUUUUGGUCAUUUUACUUGCAAUGUGAAAUGUCGAUUAAUAUCGAGAUGGUCAUGUUGUGAAUAACAGAAACAGAUGCUAAAUAGGGAUACAUUCGGAAAAUAUUAUUUCGGAGUUGAUGAUGAUAUAUAUCCCGGAUUACUUUUAGAAGAAAAUUAUUCUGUUUGGAAUCUAGAUACAUGGACGUGGAGGCAAGGAAAAUGUCUAAAAUACCAAUUUUGUUAAUUGUUCCACUACACUUUUAUUAUGAACACUAAUUACGUGUUUAUAAUGAUUGAAUACAUGUCUUUUGUUUUGAUGUUAGAGCUUUAUGUUACAAAAGAAAUCAUGUUCAUAAGCAAUUAAGAAAAAUGAUUUUUGAAUGAAAUAAUAUUGCAAAUAUAUUAUAGCUACACUUAAUUAAGAAGUUAUUUAAAGCUGCAUGCCUCAAGAUGAGCUGCCAAAAGAUAUUGAGAGAAGUAAAACGAUGACAAAUUCUUGAAUAAUUUACAUGCGAUAUGCAUUAUAUGACUGAUUUCGAAGUACGUGUAUUUACCACCAUAUUUCUACUGCGUGACUAUUACAGUAAGGGCUAUAUUUUUGUAUCUUUGGACUUCUUUUUAGUUAUUUUAGUGGGUUGUUAUUACCGUUUACAAUCUAUUCAUCACUACCCUUGUUCACUGCACAAUAUUUCGUUUUUAAAUAAAAAAUUAUUCAAAAUUUUCAUAAAAAUGAGCACAAAUCUUGAGGCAUGCUUCUUUAAUUAUGCUUGGUAGUUAUAGUCCAACUUGGCAGAUGUAUGUGUUAUGUGUUGUGUACAUUUCAAUAUUCUGUCUAUAUAUGUAACGUUUUAAUUAUCUACUUGUUUUUAAAAGUAUGCCAAUACUUGUAUUAGAAUUAGAUUCAGUAAUCAAAGUUUUUGUUCGAUAAAUAGGCACUGAUGUCGUUUAUUUCAUAUGAAAUUAUAUCAAAAUCAUUUCAGUAGUUGACAAUUUUAGAUAACACAUAUUUUUUCCAUCAUGUGUAGACAUACAAAACUUGUCAGAUAACUUGUAAGUUCUGUUUAGUAAAGUUCAUAUCUAACGUACACACUGAAUUGGGUUCUAUGAUCAUUCACGUACAUAUUACUAAAAAAUAAAUCAAUCUUUUUAGUUGUGUUAAUAUUACUAAAAAGUAAAUAAAUCGUUUAAGUUGUGUAAAUAUUACUUAAAAGUAAAUAAAUUGUUUUAGUUGCCUAAGUGCAAUAUUUUUCAUUUUGAAAUUCACAAACUGCUGUCUAGCAAAUUUUAAAAGUUUGAUGAAGUUCUUGAAAUGAUUAACCAAUCUAUUUCAAACUUCACUGAGCACACACUACUGAAAUAUGCGACAUGUUCCCAAUAUAGCAAUCGUCAGAUAAAAAGAAAAGAAGAAACAUUAUUUGUCUGGUGCUAUAUCUAGAAAGUGGCUGGGUAAUGACAGAGUCAAAAAUAUGUUAUUGAAUAAAUACAGUUGUCUACGGUGCAUAUUAUUAGAACCAAUCUAUAAAAAAUAGUUAAAGUUCCACGUGACUCUAAAAAUACAACCUACACGUUGUCUUUAAAAGCAAAAGUGCUCUUUGGUGUGACCCGUGAAGUGACAUACAUGUACGUGUAAAUUGAUAAGCAACAUUUUUACCAUUUUCGCGGUAAAUAUCUUAAUAAAACUAUCCUUAUAGGAAAAUAAUACAAUAUAAAUACUGACUGAAUAUCAAGUUAAGACGACACGGUCGCAUGUUCGCAUGUCUCAUAUUAAAGAUACUUUUACCUCGUAAAUUGGAUUGAUUUACCUUGAUUGACAAGAAAUUAGUUGCCUUGGGAAGAUUACAAAUAUCGAUUUUGUUAUUGUAACAUUUUACAGUAUUUCCUAUCAAUACCAGGCUGUUGAUGUCAGUGCGUAAAUUUUGAUUGAUUGUUAUCAAUUCUACAUGCAAUUGUUAAAACUGUUCAUAAACAAUAUGUGCUCAUAUGUCAUGAACACUUUUUUUGUAUUUCUCUGUCGCUACUCCUUCAAUAUUUCCACAUUUCUUAGCGACUGUUUUCCUUUUCAUUUACCCGAUCGUCUUUGCACAUGUCACUCUGUCCGUCUUUUGUUCCUACCUUUGGUUUUUAUUUUUGACCCCGUCAUCCCGGUGGUUAACUGCUAUGCGUUUUUUCCCUUUCUUGGAUUUAAAAAUAGAAUGUAUAUGGAUAUAUACUAUAUAUAGCCUAUAUUGAAAAUAUUUUGAAAAUAUUUCACAUGAAUAUAUUUCAAGUAAUAUAUAAGGUAAAAGUAAUAUAAAUAAAGUAAUAAAAAUGUUAAGAAAAAUCAUAAUUCAAUAUUUUACAAUAAUUUAAAUUUCAAUCAAUGUACCUAAUUUAGGUAAAAGGUAAAUAUAGUAGUGUGUGGGAUUUUCCAUGGCUAUAUUUAGUUUACAACGCAAUACUAUGCGAGUAUAUAAACCCGAUAGCUUAAAAUAACAAUUUUAAGAGUACAUCGACAUUACAUGGACUAUCUCUUAUUUUAUUCAGUGGAGCUGAAAAUAGGUUUAAAUAAUAUACCCAUCUAUAAACACGUACUUUAAAUCGCUAUAAAUUAAAUCAAAACCAAUACGUUAUAAAAAACGAUCGCCUACAUUGAGAAAAUGUUGCAAGAAAAAGAUAUUUUAGAUCAUUUUAUGAACGAGAAAGGUAACCUAUCUUCGACACAUGGAAGACAGGAACCAUCACACGACGAGGAAACUGACCAAGUUCCAGGUAA